CAGGGGGUGGCCCUGGGGACACAAAGGUCCUGGCAGGGGUAGAUCCAGGUGGCUUUGGGGACACGGUGGCUUUGGGAUGCAGGGGGUUUUGGGGUCCCUGGUGGCCUUGGGGACACAAAGGUCCUGGCAGGGGGUGGCUCAGGGGACACAAAGGUCCUGGCAGGAGCAGACUCAGGUGGCCUUGGGGACACAAAGGUCCUGGCAGGAGGUGGCCUUGGGGACACAAAGGUCCUGGCAGGUGUAGAUCCAGGUGGCUUUGGGGACACGGUGGCUUUGGGAUGCAAGAGGUUUUGGGGUCCCUGGUGGCCUUGGGGACACAAAGGUCCUGGCAGGGGGUGGCUCAGGGGACACAAAGGUCCUGGCAGGAACAGAUCCAGGUGGCCUUGGGGACACAAAGGUCCUGGCAGGAGCAGACCCAGGUGGCUUUGGGGACACGGUGGCUUUGGGAUGCGGGAGGUUUUGGGGUCCCUGGUGGCCUUGGGGACACAAAGGUCCUGGCAGGAGCAGACCCAGGUGGCUUUGGGGACACGGUGGCUUUGGGAUGCAGGAGGUUUUGGGGUCCCUGGUGGCCUUGGGGACACAAAGGUCCUGGCAGGGGGGGGGCUCUGGGGACACAAAGGUCCUGGCAGGAGGUGGCUCAGGGGACACAAAGGUCCUGGCAGGAGCAGACCCAGGUGGCUUUGGGGACACAAAGGUCGUGGUAGGAGGUGGCUUUGGGGACAGAAAGGUCCUGGCAGGAGCAGACCCAGGUGGCUUUGGGGACACGGUGGCUUUGGGAUGCGGGAGGUUUUGGGGUCCCUGGUGGCUCUGGGGACACAAAGGUCCUGGCUGAAGGUGGCUCAGGGGACACAAAGGUCCUGGCAGGAGCAGACCCAGGUGGCUUUGGGGACACGGUGGCUUUGGGAUGCAGGGGGCUUUGGGGUCCCUGGUGGCUCAGGGGACACAAAGGUCCUGGCAGGAGCAGACCCAGGUUGCCUUGGGGACACAAAGGUCCUGGCAGGAGCCGAUCCAUGUGGCUCUGGGGACCCAAACAUCCCUCUGGGCUGAAAUCCUUGCGCCUGGGUGCCUUUGGGGACGGGGUGUCACCGCGUCCCCCCAUGUUUGGGGUGGCCUUUGGGGCCGGUGGUGGCCUCGGGGUCCCAGACUCGUGGUGUCC